rnacentral:rRNA from 1 species
CAGUAGCCGCGGUAAUACGGAGGGAGCUAGCGUUGUUCGGAAUUACUGGGCGUAAAGCGCACGUAGGCGGCUUUGUAAGUUAGAGGUGAAAGCCUGGAGCUCAACUCCAGAACUGCCUUUAAGACUGCAUCGCUUGAAUCCAGGAGAGGUGAGUGGAAUUCCGAGUGUAGAGGUGAAAUUCGUAGAUAUUCGGAAGAACACCAGUGGCGAAGGCGGCUCACUGGACUGGUAUUGACGCUGAGGUGCGAAAGCUAGGGGAGCAAAUGGGAUUAGAUACCCCAGUAGUCCCUGUCUCUUAUAC